GACGGAGGAUGCAAGUGUUAUCCGGAAUUAUUGGGCGUAAAGCGUCUGUAGGUUGUCUAGCAAGUCUAUUGUUAAAGGUUAAAGCUCAACUUUAAAACUGCGGUAGAAACUGCUAGACUUGAGUAUAGUCGAAGUAGAGGGAAUUUCCAGUGAAGCGGUGAAAUGCGUAGAUAUUGGAAGGAACACCAAUGGCGAAAGCACUCUACUAGGCUUUUACUGACACUCAGAGACGAAAGCUAGGGUAGCAAAUGGGAUUAGAUACCCCAGUAGUCCUAGCCGUAAACGAUGGAUACUAAACAUUGCGUGCUCGCCGUGGUGUUAUAGCUAACGCGUUAAGUAUCCCGCCUGGGGAGUAUGCUCGCAAGGGUG
rnacentral:rRNA from 1 species